UGCCUCAGAAAGGAAACUUCCUCGGGGGGGGGGGGGUGAGUGAAAAAAUGCCAGAGGUUUUGUCAAGCGUGAGCGAGUGUGAGAAAGGAUGGGCAGCGGCGCUGCAGGAAGACCAUGCUGGCAGCUGUGAGGCCCGAUCGGAGCGUGAACUGCCCUCCACCCAGGGAGACAACAAUGGCAAUGAUGAUGACUGUUUUCCAUAUGUUGGACGGGUAAAUUUCGCAGAGCUUCUUCUGUCUUGAUAGCUGGACUACAUUUGGUGAAUGGAAGACAAUGAAGAUGAAGUGUAGACAUUGCAGCCUCUGUCUCCUCCCCCUUUCUGUUCCUCAAAGUGGUCAGAGGAACAUACCACGUGACGUGUUGGUGGUGUGAUGGAAAGUUCCUUAAAAACACAAAAAGCACAAUUCAGCAGUCAUGAGCUUGAUGAGUUUGAUUCCACUCUCUGGUCAAGCACAAAAACCGGUCUGCAGGGCAGAUGGCAUCUUCAGAGCAGUUGGGAAUCUGCUCUCUCUGCGUCUCUGGAUUGUUUUCUUGGUUUGUUUGUUUUUGAAGGUAAAAUAAAAGUUUUAUUUUUCUUAUUGUUAAUUGAUCUAACAGUUCUC